rnacentral:rRNA from 1 species
UACGUAGGGUGCGAGCGUUAAUCGGAAUUACUGGGCGUAAAGCGUGCGCAGGCGGUUCGUUGUGUCGGCGGUGAAAGCCCCGGGCUUAACCUGGGAAUGGCCGUCGAAACUGGCAGGCUCGAGUACGGGAGAGGGGGGUGGAAUUCCUGGUGUAGGGGUGAAAUUCGUUGAUAUCAGGAGGAACACCGGCGGCGAAGGCGGCCCCCUGGCCCGCAACUGACGCUCAUGGUCGAAAGCGUGGGGAGCAAACAGG